UACACAAGGCCAAUCAUAUUCCAAGUCACAGUCAGCCCUCUUAUUGUUGUCAGUGAGCAGCGGAGGUGGAGGCUCACUUUAAGUCGAGCCAUCGGCUCGACAAACGGCUUGUCGAGGGCCAUAGGACGGCUCUCAGGAAGGAAAAAAGACCCUAAGGACAGAAAUACAAUCAUGCAGAACUCAGUGAGUUCAUUGAUGCCAUCUGUUACGUUGACGGUGGUGUCCUGGAACAUGCUCCAGACUCUGACUGGCUCCAUCCCAAGCAUCACUGAUGGCAUUGCAUAUCUCAACCUCAAUAAGACGGCUGCAUGGUUGCUCCUCUCGAACACAGGCAGCAACUCCACUCUACAGCUGCCCUAAACGGUGCUCAGCAACAAUACUCAGGGUUUAUUCCUCUUCUGGUGCAGGCUGACAGGAUGCUCCUUCAGCUGGUGCCCGUCUUCUACAUCUUUUCCUGUGUGGUUACUGAUGUUUACAUUUGGAAACGACAUCCUGGCCGGCUGGCAGAAGUCCUGAGAGUUUGCUGCCACGACCAGAGCAUCUGCCAAACACUGCUGGCUGAAAUCAAAAAGAGCUGCCUGGUGGACUCGGUCCUUUCCUCAAGUAAACAACAUCUGCGGGCAGCAGCACCUUCUGUGGCACUGGCCAGCUGGGGGCCUGGCUAGUGGAAGAUGCACAGCAGAUGAUAUACCCAAGAAGACAGAAAACACUGAAAACCUUCACAUGGGUGCCAAGGGAGAUAUGUGACUUUGGAUUCAACAUCCCUGACAGUGGAAAGCCGGGCUCUGGCCCCACUGUUCCAUACAGCAGCCCCUCAACCUCUGCCCGGUAGCCCCCUCGUCCACCACAGAUACCAUCUCUCCACAUUUUCUGCAAAGAGCUAAAGAAAACAUCUUUCAUGUUUUAUAACGCUAGAGAGCCAACAGGAAAUGAAAGAGUCCCGGCCUGGAAGACAAAUAAAGAAAUGAGGGAGGAAAAAUCAGCAGCGGAGAGGGGAAUCCACUCUUCAUCUCCCGGAGCUACGGGGCCACGGCUCCGCGGAGAGACAAAUUUCUGGUGCAUGUGUGUAUAUUAUAGCUGCAGGGGCCGAGUGCAACUCAGCAGCGUCAAUAAGAGGAGAUGGUUUUUUUUUUUUUUUGCC